CGGGUUUCCAUGGUGACGGCCUCACUGACGCACAUCGCGUAAUACGCGAUGACGUCAUCUUCCAGCGCUACAGCAGCCGAACGGGUCCCCGCCGGGCGAGCGCUGCACACUUCACUGCACUUGGGUCUCUGGGAUAUAAGCAACUGAGGAGAGAAAAGGCCAUGAAAAAUGAAAUUUCUAUCAUUACCACUCCCCAAUGCCCCGUUUGAUUACAUUUUUGAAAUCAAUUAAAUUACAUUAAUUUACUAAUUAAUCCUUCCUUACAUCUGAUGUAGUACAGCCAUCCUGUCUGCCACUGCAUUGCCACUCAGUUUCCCAGAUGUGCCAUGUUUGAAGUAAACUGCCCCGAGUUUGUGCCACCCACUGCUGUCGCUUAGCUUAGUCAGGCAGCUAGCCCUGUGCAACCUUUUGGCCUAAACUGGAUGAAAACAAUAUUGUGAGCUGUGAAGUGAUCGAAAUUGACUGGAAAUUACUAGAAAUUAAUGUUAUUGAGGUUAAUAAAACUGCAGAAACAACAAAA